AGGGGGAAUACUUUUGCAAGCCACUGUAGAACACCAGUAUGAGGUAAAUGAAUGAAAUGAAUGUAGAUCAAAAUCUGAUGGUACUUUUCUGUGUUCAUAUUUCCAUCAGUGUGAACAAGAUCUCAAACAAGGUUAAAAUGCAGCCUGGACAAUGAAAGAGUCCCCACCAUGAGCUACAGAUGGCUGUGGACAAUCUUUUGUACUUCUCUCCUGACGUCCUACAUACAUACUGAUGAUGAUUUGCUUGUGUAACGUGACAUACCUCAGCCUUUAGCUCUUGCUCCGCUUCCUUAAGAAUUGUUUCUUGGCAACCAUCAACUGAAGAACCACACAACACUAGUUCAUCAUUUGAGUUAUGCAGUUAGGUGUCUUUUCAUACUUGAAUUAAAAAAUAUAUAUUCUGGAAAUGGUCAGCUACGUUGAGUGGAUUGAAAAGGAUGUGUAAAAAUAGCAGCCAUUGUCCAAAGAAAAACGUUGAAAGACCUUAAAAAAAGUCUGGAGAAACAUUGUUCAAGAGCAUUUGAAAACAUUACAUGAAAGUCUGACUCAUCGGAAGUAAAAUAUGAAAAAAUGACGGGUGAUUCGAGACUUUUGCAGUGUUGUAACUGUUUUGUUGUUGCUGUUGUUUGUAUUUUUGUGUGUGUGCAUAAAGAGUUCUGCUAGAGCAGCAGUUUCAAUCAGCUCUGCUAUCACUUGUACUGCCUGCACUGACAUUCUCUGUGUGUUUCAUUGUGCAGAGAGUGAUCCAGCUGCAGUCUCUCCAGCAGUGAGAACAGAAUACGUCACUUAUGGGCAAAUCAUCAUCAAAGACAAGAAAAAAAAGUCAGAGAGCGAUCCUGCUGCAGUGUACUCAGGAGUGAGAACAGAAGACAUCAAUUACGGACAAAUAGCCUUCAGACCAAAGAGGAAAAAAGACUGUAAACCAGAGCCAGAUGUCGUCUACUCUUCACUGAAGUAGUCCACCAGUCCAACCAUUGAUGUCCAGCUGCUGGUCUCUAACUGGUCCCCCAGCACCUCCACAGACACAUCCAUAUGUUGAAAAGAUUUCUUUUUGAUGUUUUGUGUCUUUUAUUUCACUUAUUACAUCCUCCUCCACUUACAAAUUCAGGGUUGCAGUGGGACUGGAGCCUAUCCCAGCUGCCGUAGGACAAGACUCAGGGUACACCUUCAGCAGGUCCCCGUUCUUGCAGGGCUAACACAGAGAGAGAAUUUAGACUCAUCAACUAACUUAACCCCACUAACUGCAUGUUGUUGGGCUGUGGGAGGAAGCCAAAGUACCUGCAGAGACCCACACAAACGCAAGGAGAACAUGCAAACUUCAACAUCAGCGAUAUUAAUAUAAAUAUUUUAAUAUAUCUUAUGUUGUCAGUAACUUUACUGUUAUUUCCAUUCUUGUUUGUUGGAUCCAGCUCGUGUUCUCAUGGCAGCGAUCUGAUUUCUUAUUAAACUUUUGUUCUCUUGUGUGUUUCUCACGUG
ensembl:lncRNA